CAGGAGGUGAAAGUCCUCUCGGUGCAGUACUCUAAUCGGCACCGUAGUUAUAUCCGACAAUUGUAAAGGCGACUUUACAAUUGAAAGCUCGGAAGUAAAAAUUCUGUGUCAGGCGGAGUGAGCAAUCCUGAGGGUCAUAGUGAAA
rfam:Candidatus Firestonebacteria bacterium RIFOXYC2_FTLL_39_67 rifoxyc2_full_scaffold_437, whole genome shotgun sequence.